UAUUGAGAAAGACGGAAAUUUAAAUUUAAAAAAUCAAAUUUCCCGCUAACUGUCAUAGUCUAAAAAGUAGUAAUGUUUUCGACCGCUAGGUUGAAGAUGCUACAAAAGAUGCCGCCGUAUUCAUACCGCGGUAGAGCACUAUAGAUAUGAGUACUUUCAUCCGCCAUUUUCAGUCCUCGAGUAAGCGGAAGUUUUAAAAAAACGUAUGUAGUGAGUGUUAGUCUGUAGGUUUUAUCGUUAUUUUUUGCAAUUUUUUAAAUUAUUUGUGAAUAAGUGAAGAAGAAAUUUUAUUGAAAUCGUUUAAUAGUCAUUUAAUAGUCGUAAACAACUAUUAAUAUCUGUCUGAAAACAUAUUGAAAAAUACAUUUUCAAUAAAAAUUUCUAAGCUCACUACAAAGAUUUUUGGGCUUUGUCUAGCCAAAAUUGAAGUAUUGACUGCAAAUAAGACUGUUGAACCUCCAGUAAAGAAGCUACAAACAAGUGAUACUCAGUUUUGUGUGCAAACAUUUUUAAUUGAUGAGUUUAGCAAUUGGAUUUCUCGUUAUGAUGCAAAUAGCAUCUUUUAUUUAGCUGGCAGC